AAUGGGAGAACAAAAAGACGGAGAACACUGAUCCCACUCAAGUCGGACGGAAGUGAGCUCACACGGUCUGACGCCGCCUACUGUGUGGACGUGCACCGCCUCCACUGGAGAUAAUAACCCCCACUACAUGUUGUGGUGAGGUCUUGCUGUGAGUGUGAGGACUGAAUGGAUCAGCAGCAGCAGCAGCAGCAGCAGAAACCUGAGGUUGUGUCGGACAGAACAAACUCUAUGAUAAAAGCAGAUAGAGAGAGGAGCAGUUUUAAUCAGGGACCGCGCGCAGCUCUGGAGUUCCUGUCCAGAGCCGGACGAGUCGCCUGUCUGAGGUGAGUAUAC